rnacentral:tRNA from 1 species
CAUCUCAUGGUGUAGUGGCUAGCACUCUGGAUUCUGAACCAAACGGUCCGAGUUCCAGUCUCGGUGAGACAU